rnacentral:rRNA from 1 species
UACGUAGGCGGCUUUUUAAGUCGGAUGUGAAAGCCCCGGGCUUAACCUGGGAAUUGCAUUCGAUACUGGGAAGCUUGAAUCCGGCAGAGGCUGGUGGAAUUUCCGGUGUAGCGGUGAAAUGCGUAGAUAUCGGAAGGAACAUUAGUGGCGAAGGCGGCCAGCUGGGUCGAGAUUGACGCUGAGGUACGAAAGCGUGGGGAGCAAACA